UAUUGCGAAUUUUCACUUCGUUUUGUUUCGUUGUUCAAGAAAGGUGGUUAACAAGGAAAAAACGCGCAAAUGUUUUUACAAUUUUUUCGAAGAAAAUAUAUGUAAAAAUUGUAAAACCAAUUUAUAAAUAAAAGUAAACGAUUAACAAUUAAUAAACGCUAUCUAAAAGUAAUAAUAAAAUUAACUAACGAGCGUAUAAAUAUAAAAAACCAGAGUGUGAGUGUUUUAAGUGGAAUGUGUGUGGAUGAUAUUUAACGAAAUUGUAAAACAAAGUACUAGAAAUC